GGCGAGGAGCUGAUCCUUGUGGAGAAUUUCAGGUGGGCACCAAAGAUCGCUCAGCACUUGAUGAAUACGUUUAAGAGUACUGCCCCUACAUUGGGCAAUUUGCCACAUUAAUUUGAGAAAGUUUUUUUUAUUUUUUUUUAAUCUACUUGUGCAUGUGCGACCGGUAAAUGUGUCCAGUAAUUCAUUUUUUUUUUUAAAUUGAAUAUUUCUUGUUGCUGACAAACGUAUGCUCCACCCUUAUCACUCAUGUAGUGAAAAUGAGUGGAAAUGUGAAUAAUUACUUCAUGAGUUGAUUUCCGGUGUGCGCCCGAAAAAUUUCAGGUUAGGCGCAAUUGUGCUCCUAGUUUAAAAAAAAAAAUUAAAGUUAGUCUGGAGCAAGGCCAUAAUUAACACAGUGAACAGAAUAUUAAUGUGAAUAGAAAGGAGAUGACAGGUACAGCGAUUAAUUGGCAACUAAUUAAUUAUCAAAGUAAUCAAUGGUUCAAUAAGCGAUUAAUUGUUAAGAGGUCUUGUUGAAUUUAAAAUGGUUGAAAUCUUCUGAAUCUCUGCUUCACUACGGUCAAUCCAAUUUCUGUAGGUCGUCACGGAAGCAGACUACCUUCGGGUUGAAUCAAAAUCAAAAUUUGCAAACAUCUGCUUUUCGUUUGCAAAACAAUCAUUAACAUUCGAGCUUUUUCUCGGAAAUGUUACCCACCAAACCAGUAACUGAAUCUUAAUACUGGAUAUGUUCGUGCAUUUUCUGCACUGUCACUUUGGAGUCAAAUUUUAUAUUCCAUUCAUCGAUUGACAAAAUAAUAGAUUCAUCAGCGAUUAUAAUAACUGUUAGUUGCAGCGCUAUCGGAGAUCCCUCAAAAUGGAACAUUCCAGUUACAAUACAGUACUGUAUUGCAUAAAAUGAAGUGCGAUCAAUGUAAAAUAAAAGAUGGACUAAAAUCACAUUGUACUCUUAUUUAUUGUUCAAAGCAUGCCAAGCAGAAGCAGGAAAGCAGGCCCAUACGUAGACGGUAUUGUCCAAUCACUUAUCUUGCCAAGCCAAACUUUUCCAGGUCUUGAGCCAGUCUUUUGAGUCCACAUCCAAAUCAGCAAGCAGGUCGUGAUACGCCAACGGGCUUAUCCGUAAAUGGAGCAAGGAAACCACGAUAGCGUGUAUCCUAUUGACGCGCUCGGCCGUACUGCCAUUGUUUUGCCCGUAGCCCGAGCAGAUGCUUUUUGUCUUGACUUCAUCGUCCUCUCAUUUAAUCAAACAGGAACUAUGUGCCCCCUACCCAAAACAUACUCAACUUGUUUGUGCAGUCGUUAUCCAGCAAGUCAGGACGCUUGGUUGCGUAAGAACAUUGUUUUUCCGCUAUAUCGGGGUUCACCGUUGGCAUCCCUGCUAUGUUGCUUUUUUUUUAAGUGAUUAUAAAACUCCACUUAUUUACAUUAGUGUCCUUCCCAUGUGGGAAAGGAGAGCACAGUCUCAGGUGUGCGGUUUACUGGACUCUCAAAGAAGAGGAAGAACAUAAACAUCUUUGCACAGAAGCUGCUGGGGAGAGAACAAAUGUGAUACCUUCCCUUUUCGGUGUGCCAGUUAAGAGGCGAGCGGCGGCAUCUUCGACCAACCGGAGUCAUUUAAGGGAGGACCGGCUUACUCAAAAGUCAAAGGGGGCGGGGCCCAACAGGGUCCAAUGGGACUCAACACAAUUAUUUCAAUUUUCUUUUUAUUAGGUUUUAAGAAGUUUGAGGCCUCAUCCAGGCUUUCAAGACGGAAUAAAAAUCUUUUGGAGGAGAAGGCGUCUUCUUGAAGGCUCUCUGGUCUUUCUGUAUCACGGCUUCUCAUGUGUUGUAGUUGAGUCGGUCGGGAAUAGCACUGAAAAAUUAAUUGAAACCGAAUCGAAAAUCUAGUGGAAUGCAAUUCGGGACCCCCCCCCCCCC